rnacentral:miRNA from 1 species
AGAACAAGUUGUCAACAAUGUUGUUACAGCAUGUUCAGUCGUAACAAUGACAAUGUUGUAACAACAUUGUUGACAAUUUGUUCUUA